CAUUAGGAAGCUGAACAGGGAUUAGCGUUAGCCUUUUAAGCUAAAGAUUGGUGACUCCCAACCACCCCUAGUGA
rnacentral:tRNA from 3 species